rnacentral:rRNA from 1 species
UACGGAGGGUGCAAGCGUUAUCCGGAUUCACUGGGUUUAAAGGGUGCGUAGGCGGGCAGGUAAGCCAGUGGUGAAAUCCCCGAGCUUAACUCGGGAACUGCCAUUGAUACUAUCUGUCUUGAAUAUUGUGGAGGUAAGCGGAAUAUGUCAUGUAGCGGUGAAAUGCUUAGAUAUGACAUAGAACACCUAUUGCGAAGGCAGCUUACUACGCAUAUAUUGACGCUGAGGCACGAAAGCGUGGGGAUCAAACAGG